rnacentral:misc_RNA from 1 species
GAUGAAGAACGUAGCGAAAUGCGAUAAGUAAUGUGAAUUGCAGAAUUCAGUGAAUCAUCGAAUCUUUGAACGCACAUUGCGCCCGCUAGUAUUCUGGCGGGCAUGCCUGUCCGAGCGUCAUUUCAACCCUCAAGCCCCGGGGCUUGGUGUUGGGGAUCGGCGAGCCUCCGCGCCCGCCGUCCCCUAAAUCUAGUGGCGGUCUCGCUGUAGCUUCCUCUGCGUAGUAGCACACCUCGCACUGGGAAACAGCGCGGCCACGCCGUUAAACCCCCAACUUCUGAACGUUUGACCUCGGAUCAGGUAGGAAUACCCGCUGAACUUAAGCAUAUCAAUAAGCGGAGGA